UACGGAGGGGGCUAGCGUUGUUCGGAAUUACUGGGCGUAAAGCGCACGUAGGCGGCUUUGUAAGUUAGAGGUGAAAGCCCAGGGCUUAACCCUGGAAUUGCCUUUAAGACUGCAUCGCUCGAAUUGUGGAGAGGUGAGUGGAAUUCCGAGUGUAGAGGUGAAAUUCGUAGAUAUCUGGAGGAAUACCGGUGGCGAAGGCGGCAUCCUGGACCGACAUUGACGCUGAUGAGCGAAAGCUAGGGGAGCAAACGGG
rnacentral:rRNA from 1 species